rnacentral:sRNA from 1 species
ACAAGAUAUUCUUCACUUUUUCACAGCACAUUUCUCAGAUGUGACUUCAUCUUCAUGAUUCUUCUUUUCACCAUUUUCCAGCAUCUAGGAGGAUACAGUUCUACAUGAUCAGGGACCUGCAUCUACUGAACUGAGAAGGAUGGGAGCCACUAAACAAGAGUUUCUGAUUUUCAAAGACUCAGGUGUGAAGAGCUACUUAAUAUGCUGUUCUGCAACCAUUCCCUGCCCAGCCAGCAAGCUGCAAGGCAAAGCAGACAAAAGCCUGUGUUUCAGAACCAAGUAAAAGAAAGUGUGUCAAGCUUGGAGGCUGGAAGGAAAAUCAGGGAAAAGGUCCUGACAAGGUCACUUGAAAGCAAGCAUAUCAAGAUUUAUGUGGAGCCAGAAUUAUUCGGGAAAAAAAAUUAAAACAUCAACUAUCAGGCUGACGAACCUCUGUGGAGCAUUGAAGCCGAAAAAGUAUUUAAGUGGGGAGCAGCAGAGAGGCAUGAGUGAUCUCAUAUGAACUCCUGAUGUGUUCAAAGGAAAUCUCAGGGGGCUGAUCCGGUAAUCCGAUGGCCAGGGUUGCCUAUGGUAGGCCAUAAAGACUAACCAGAGGCUUCAUGCUAAGUUGUGAAUUAAUUGAACUCUUCCUCGUUUUCAGGGCUCUUGGGCUCUAAAGAACA